GAAAUUUGAUGUCAGCUGGUUUUCCCAGGGCGAGGCUUAUCCGUUGCACUCUGGCUGGGCUGACCCCUGCGAUUUCCCCAAAUAUGGGAAACUCAACUGCAUAAUUUGUGGUAGUGGGGGACUGCGUUCGCACUCUCCCCUA
rnacentral:snRNA from 1 species